UACGAAGGGGGCUAGCGUUGCUCGGAAUUACUGGGCGUAAAGCGCACGUAGGCGGCUCUUUAAGUCGGGGGUGAAAUCCUGGAGCUCAACUCCAGAACUGCCUUCGAUACUGUAGAGCUUGAGUUCGGGAGAGGUGAGUGGAACUGCGAGUGUAGAGGUGAAAUUCGUAGAUAUCGGGAGGAACACCAGUGGCGAAGGCGGCGAUCUGGGUCGAUACUGACGCUGAGGUGCGAAAGCGUGGGGAGCAAACAGG
rnacentral:rRNA from 1 species